rnacentral:rRNA from 1 species
GAUGAACGCUGACAGAAUGCUUAACACAUGCAAGUCCACUUGAACUUCGGUUUGGGUGGCGGACGGGUGAGUAACGCGUAAAGAACUUGCCUCACAGCUAGGGACAACAUUUGGAAACGAAUGCUAAUACCUGAUAUUAUGAUUAUAUGGCAUCGUAUAAUUAUGAAAGCUAUAUGCGCUGUGAGAGAGCUUUGCGUCCCAUUAGCUAGUUGGAGAGGUAACAGCUCACCAAGGCGAUGAUGGGUAGCCGGCCUGAGAGGGUGAUCGGCCACAAGGGGACUGAGACACGGCCCUUACUCCGACGGGAGGCAGCAGUGGGGAAUAUUGGACAAUGGACCGAGAGUCUGAUCCAGCAAUUCUGUGUGCACGAUGAAGUUUUUCGGAAUGAAAAGUGCUUUCAGUUGAGAAGAAAAAAAUGACGGUACCAACAGAAGAAGUGACGGCUAAAUACGUG